AGAUGGUUUUAACUAUUAAAAAUGUACUUUUAAACAACGAAUAUGUCAACCUACGUCAAAAGUGUGAUGUGAUUUUAUGUUGUAUAUUAGACAUUUAUAAUAUAUAUUAAAAAUCGUUCUAUAAUUUUUAUACUCAAUUUUACCACAAUUAAUUAUAAUGUUUAUAACGAAUUUUUUUUCAAAAAAGAAUAAUGAUAAUAUUUAAGUUUUCAAUUUGAUGAGAUUUGUACGUUAAUAAAUGGGAAAUCAGGAAAAGCCGGUCAUAAAUAAACGACAGCAAUCGAUGAAUUCAAAUCUGUUUUCAGAAUGCGUAUUGGACCAAUAGAAUGAUCGGUGGAUAUUCGGUAUUGUAUUAGAAGUAAAUAUGAUGACAUUAUUAUGUUACGAGCGUGACAGAUCGUGACAAAAAAUCACCAAUUCCAAUCUACAUAGAUUAAUGAUUAGUAGUACAUAUUAUUGUUAUUGUUAUCUUAUAGCCGAUAGCAGAUUAUGUAUUUAUGUGAAGGUGGUAAAUUAAAUGGCACAGUUUUGAAAUGGGUAGCGAGCGUCCAAAGAAUUUAAACACAUACAUAUUAAUUUGCCUAAUGUUUUUUACCAGGUACACGUAAGGCCUAAAAUAGAUCACAUAGAUUAACACUUUAAUUUAAAGUCGUUUAAUAAUUUUUGAGGUAACGGAAAAAAUUGAUGUAAUCACAAAAAUUGCCUAAUCAAUAUUUAU